UACGUAGGGUGCAAGCGUUAAUCGGAAUUACUGGGCGUAAAGCGCGCGCAGGCGGCUAUGCAAGUCAGAUGUGAAAUCCCCGGGCUCAACCUGGGAACUGCAUUUGUGACUGCAUGGCUAGAGUACGGUAGAGGGGGAUGGAAUUCCGCGUGUAGCAGUGAAAUGCGUAGAUAUGCGGAGGAACACCAGUGGCGAAGGCGACUACCUGGGCUGUUUCUUGACGCUGAGGCGCGAAAGCGAGGGGAGCAAACGGG
rnacentral:rRNA from 1 species